CAGCGUCUCUACUGGGGACUUCUCUGGGACAGUUUGCUUCUGCAGGGCUCAGAGAGAAAGGACGUACACCAGGAUCUUGUUUGUGGGCUUCAGCUCAGCUUUAAACACCAUCAACCCAGGCAUCCCCAGCUCACAUUUCCAGCCUCCGCCUGUCAAUGGAUCACCAGCUUCCUGACUGCCGGCAGCAAAGCGGAAGUGCAAUCCAGAGGGCUCGGAUGGCUGCGAUGCUGGGCGGCCAGGUAGUGCAGACAGGAGGAAGCCAGUCAUGGAGGUAUGAUCCAGAGUCCACAAGAAGCUUGGAACGGAAAAGGUGAGUCCACAAAUGAUCAUCAGA